rnacentral:rRNA from 1 species
AUUGAACGCUGGCGGCAGGCUUAACACAUGCAAGUCGAGCGAGCGGCGGACGGGUGAGUAAUGUUUGGGAAACUGCCUGAUGGAGGGGGAUAACUACUGGAAACGGUAGCUAAUACCGCAUACCAUCAGAUGUGCCCAGAUGGGAUUAGCUAGUAGGUGGGGUAAUGGCUCACCUAGGCGACGAUCCCUAGCUGGUCUGAGAGGAUGACCAGCCACCCUGUAACUGAGACACGGUCCAGACUCCUACGGUAGGCAGCAGUGGGGAAUAUUGCACAAUGGGGGCAAGCCUGAUGCAGCCAUGCCGCGGGAAUGAAGAAGGCCUUCGGGUUGUAAAGUACUUUCAGCAGGGAGGCGUUACCCGCAGAAGAAGCACCGGCUAACUCCGUGCCAGCAGCCGCGGUAAUUC